AUUGAACGCUGGCGGAAUGCUUUACACAUGCAAGUCGAACGGUAGAGGGGGCAACCCCUUGAGAGUGGCGAACGGGUGAGUAAUAUAUCGGAACGUGCCCAGUCGUGGGGAUAACGUAGCGAAAGUUACGCUAAUACCGCAUACGAUCUAAGGAUGAAAGCGGGGGAUCGCAAGACCUCGCGCGAUUGGAGCGGCCGAUAUCAGAUUAGGUAGUUGGUGAGGUAAAGGCUCACCAAGCCGACGAUCGUGUAGCUGGUCUGAGAGGACGACCAGCCACACUGGGACUGAGACACGGCCCAGACUCCUACGGGAGGCAGCAGUGGGGAAUUUUGGACAAUGGGCGCAAGCCUGAUCCAGCAAUGCCGCGUGCAGGAUGAAGGCCU
rnacentral:rRNA from 1 species